GAUGAACGCUGGCGGCGUGCCUAACACAUGCAAGUCGAACGAACAGACGAGGAGCUUGCUCCCCUGACGUUAGCGGCGGACGGAUGCGUCACACGUGGAUAACCUACCUCUCAGACUGGGGUAACAACGGGGGACCGGUGCUUCUAACCGAUAAUAUAUUGCACCGCAAUGUGCAAGAGUUAUAGUCGGUUUUUCUGUUGGUUAUAGCCGGAUCCGCGCUGCAUUAGUUGGUUGGUAAGGUAAAGGCUUACCAAGGCUACGAUGCGUAACCGACCUGAGAGGGUGGUCGGCCAGACGGGAAGUGAGACAGGGUCCAGACUCCGACGGGAGGAAGCAGUAGGGAAUCUUACGCAAUGGGGGAAAGCGUGACAGAGCAACACCGCGGAAGUGAUGAAGGACUUCGGAUCGGAAAGCGAUGUUGUUAGGAAAGAAGAAAAGUUGAAUUAACCGUGAUCGUAAUGACGGUACCGAAAGAAUAAGCCCCGGCUAACUCCGUG
rnacentral:rRNA from 1 species